AUCCUUCGAAUUGGGUACAGAUGAUCGGAGAGCCUCCUAAGUUAUAACGUUCAUAUUAUAUCAUAUCAGACAAAACAAAUUUCAGUCAUACUGCACACACUACACACACCACACACAUACAGUUUCUUUGCUUCGUUUUUCUAUAAUUUUCACACGGUUGAUCUAUGGAAUGCUUGAAUCCAAUAGAGUCAGCGGCGGCUGAAUCGCCAUAUGAGGUGUUGCUCAGGGCGGUGUUAUUGAUACCGGUUUCUCACUAUUUAUUCGGAUUAUCGUUGAUAGUUAUUGUGUUUCUGUAUAAUUUUCUUGAAUUUCAUAUCCUGCAAGAUUUAUUCACCGGAUUGAGGGGACAGAAAGUGGUUUUGACUUUCCAUCCAUCCUCUCAACUCUACCGCGAUGUUGUCUCAAAGUGUAGAGUUCUUCAUGGCAGUAUGUCAAACAUCUGGCUUUCAGCAUGGCUAAACAUGGCUGGAAUGUUGUUGUGAGCAAUCAUCGCGGACUUGGGGGUGUAUCAAUUACAAUUUGUGACAGAUUUAUAAACCGUAAACUUGCCCAAAGGUUUUACAAUAAAGCUCUGACCAUCGGCUUGAAAGAUUAUGCCCAUUUGCUGUUUGAUUGAGCAUGGAAUUUUGUAGGCAUGAGGAUGUCCUUUCUCGUCUAUCAAACUGGGAAGGUGUUAAAAAGACUGUGGAUACAUAUUACAGGCGUUCUAGCAGUUCUAAUUUUGUAGGAAGUGUAACCACACCCCUUCUUUGCAUUAGUUCUUUAGAUGAUGCAGUAUGUACAAGUGAAGCCAUCCCUUGGGAUGAGUGCAGUUCAUCUAGCAGCCGUAUGACAUGGACUCAGAUGUCAUUAUGGCUUACGCCGCUGAUUUGAAUCCCCAACUAGGGAAAUCAUCAUGUCCAUUAGUAUUUUAUGCAAUAGUGAAAAUGCAUCAUCCCGAACGGGUUCCUCGCCAAUUUAGGAUGAGACAAAAUAUUCCAAAAGCGAUGGAUACUCGGGACAUGAGCCUACAUCAGAUCUCUCUAGAAAAUUAUACGGGCACAGAUUGGCACUUGCAGCACAUACAAUACAUUACUAGAUGACAAAGAUGAUAUGACACGAUUGUACAAAGGCUAUCCAUUUCCGAUAGAAGAGAAACAAAAAUAGGUUAUUGGGAAUGGUACUACAACAUAACACGGAAUUUCGUGUCGCCAUCUACUGAUAGACGUGUGAAAAGCGGGUACCAACUUGGAGACGCACCUAUGUUGCAAGUUGUGGCAAAAGAGGUGAAUGCCCUUGAAGCUUUGUGUCAAUCUAGACCACAAAAUAUUAAAGGGUAUAUAGUCAAUUGGUGAAUAAAUUCGAACAUGGGUUAUCAAGGAAGCCAUAAUCCAUCAGCCACAACAAAUUACUUCACCAUCUGAUGAUGCUCCCACAACAUCCCAUAGGUAAAGAAGAAGUUCUAGCCGAAUGUCUAUUGGUUCAGUUGAAUGUCAUGAUGUUGGGAUAGAUAUAACUGGUCCUUCUCCACUGCUUUCUUUAGAGCACUCUCCUGGCUGGCUGUCUCUUUCUUCAAUUGCCUCACCUCCCUCCUCAACUGUUGGCAGCGUCCUGUCACCUCCUUCUUGGCAUCCCUUUGUUUGGCGUUCUCGUUCCUUAAGCGCUCCAACCUAUCCUCCAACUUACGCCAUUGGGCAUCAUUGAAAGGAGGGGUUCCCUAUGACUUGGAAGAAAGUUCUUUAUAAUUUAUUGUAUGUUUAUUUUGAAAGAUUAAUUUGUAGAUUAUUGUGUAUAUUUUUUUUAUUAGUAUGCACUCGAAUAUUAUACUAGGCAAAGUCUUAGGGAAAAAG